UGUCGCCUGGAGGGCACGUUCAGGCAGAAGCUCCUCAGUGGCCACAAGUCCGCUAGCUCCGGCUACAGCCCUUGCCGCACACUCGCGUCACCUGAGCCUGUGAUGCCGAAGGACCUGUUCAAAGUAUUUUCUGUAACUCCAACUGUAACUUGGUUCUAGGAGGAGAGAAUCCAUGUUUGGUCAACAGAACUUUUCGCCGCCACUUAAGUUUACUGCUUCAAUAUCUUUUCCUUACUAAUUGAUUGUUAAUUAAGUAGUGUCCAAGUGAGUUAGCCUUUUUAGGGUUGAUUAAUUAAAAGAGCAGCAAGAAUGGCAUUUUAACUCUUCUGGUUUUUGGGGUUUUUUUUUCAGUUACUAUGAUAACUCUUUUCAAGUCCACAAAUGAUUUGUUCUUAGCUGUAAAGAAGAGGUCAGAAAUGUAAGUGGGGAGAGAACAAAGAUAG
rnacentral:lncRNA from 1 species